rnacentral:misc_RNA from 1 species
CUUUUUGUGCAUAAUGUAUAUAUAGGGGGGUGGUAGUACUCUUGGGGUAGAGAGGCAUGUGCUGGGAUGGCAUGCCAAGGCAUGUGCUGGGAUGGCAUGCCUUGGUGUGUGCUGGGAUGGCAUGCCAAGGACAAGCAUGUGCUAAGAAGGCAUGCCAAGGCCAAGCCAAGGCCAAGGCAAGCACAUGCAUUGUGAGCGAGACGAGACGGGUAUGAUUACCCCAAGAGUGCCCAAGGGAGAGGAAGGUGUCAAACGCAUGCUGAGCCCCACUUCGGUAGUUUGGCACCCCCAUAGCAUUCAGGCAAGCGUGGCUAUGGGAGAAGUCGGUUGAGCUUGUCAGCCAUGUUGGGUAUUAUUGUCUGAACGAGAUGAUGGCACAAGGAUGCUUGCUUUAAGGUAACGUUCCGGCAGCACAGCCAGCCCGCAAUUGCUAGUUCAAGCGGGUGGAAUCUGCCUAUAGGGGCGUUGCUUGCUUGCUUGCUGUGGAGUUGGGCACGCCCAAUAUGUAUCAUUGACCGACGACGUAGUUCCUGCAUGGCCCCAUAGGUAUUCAGGCAAGCGUGCCUAUGGGUAAAGUCGCUAGAGCUUGUCAGCCAUGUUGGGUAUUAUUGUUUGGACGAGAUGAUGGCACAAGGAUGCUUGCUUUAAGGUAACGUUCCGGCAGCACAGCCAGCCCGCAAUUGCUAGUUCAAGCGGGUGGAAUCUGCCUAUAGGGGCGUUGCUUGCUUGUUGUGGAAUUGGGACACGCCCAAUAUCUAUCAUCAACCGACGUAGUUCCUGCAUGGCCCCAUAGGUAUUCAGGCAAGCGUGCCUAUGGGUAAAGUCGCUAGAGCUUGCCAACACCCAUGUUAGCGGUCUGGACCGAUGAUGGCACAAGGAUGCUUGCUUUAAGGUAACAUUCCGGCAGCACAGCCAGCCCGCAAUUGCUAGUUCAAGCGGGUGGAAUCUGCCUAUAGGGGUGUUGCUUGCUUGCUGUGAAUUUGGGACACGCCCAAUAUCUAUCAUCGACCCAACGAAGUGCUCAACAUGGGUUGCUGGGGGCUAUUUUGGCACUGACGGUUCACUUGUUUGCUUGGGUUUGAUAAACGUUUAGAUGUCAUGAUGCUUGGGAUCCAAUAAAUUUAUGUGGGAAGCUGAGAGCUGGAACCCAAUGUCAUUCACCAGACGGCUUAGCUUCGUCAGUGUGUAUAAUAUGUCAUUGAACCCCAAUCCUUGAUGCCAACCUGAUUAUGACUUUUGGAUCGCAAUUAUCAUGGCUAUCAAAAACUGAGUAGGAGUCAUGGAAUAAGUGAGCAGUUUGUAGCCUUUAUAGCUGUCAGCUUUCGCAUCGCCCGGUGUGUUUUGGGAAUUGCUUUGUGCAUUUGGUUGCCUGCCGUGCCUCUUGGCAUACGGUGGGUGCCACUUGCUGGGUGGUUUUCGGAAACAUCCACCGUAAAGGUGCAUGAGUGGUGUUUUGUUUGUUACGGGUGGUUGGCUCUUUGCUUGCGCAACAGCUGCCACCCGACUUACCUCUUCAGAUGUUUGCCUAGGCUUGUAUAGCCUAAGCAGAUUGUGGGUUUCCUGUGUUGCCUACCUACGUCAAGGAAUUGUCCCGAUCGAUCAAAGUUGCUUUCGUCUUGUGUCGUCUUGAUGGCAUAAGAUGAACCAUGAAGCUGUCUCUUUGCGCCGCAUCGUUAAUGCAUGCGUUGAUGUUGUGGCCCAUUGAGCAUUGCUUGGUACCUUGGAUACGGAACCUUAUGUGGGCAUGGGUCCUUGGGGAUCCUUGUUCUGCCCUCGUUUAGCGUUCGCGCUUCUCUUAGAAUGACUGCCUAGCCGGAAUGGAAACCCAUUGUGGAUGGGCAUCGUCAAAGAGGAAUGCU